AAUCACGUGAUGAGAAAAAAUAACUGCAACAAUAUGAUUGGAUUUAUUUCCGUGAUUCCUAUUAAUACUACAAUUCUCUGAUGAUU
rfam:Cicer arietinum chromosome Ca2, whole genome shotgun sequence.